rnacentral:rRNA from 1 species
AGCAGCCGCGGUAAUUCCAGCUCCAAUAGCGUAUAUUAAAGUUGUUGCAGUUAAAAAGCUCGUAGUUGAAUUUCGGGGUUAGUAGGUUGGUCAUGCCUCUGGUAUGUACUGGUCUCACUGAUUCCUCCUUCCUGAUGAGCCGUAAUGCCAUUAAUUUGGUGUUGCGGGGAAUUUGGACUGUUACUUUGAAAAAAUUAGAGUGUUUAAAGCAAGCUUAACGCCUGAAUACAUUAGCAUGGAAUAAUGAAAUAGGACGUUCGAUCCUAUUUUGUUGGUUUCUAGGAUUGACGUAAUGAUUAAUAGGGAUAGUUGGGGGCAUUAGUAUUCAAUUGUCAGAGGCGAAAUUCUUGGAUUUAUUGAAGACUAACUACUGCGAAAGCAUUUGCCAAGGAUGUUUUCAUUAAUCAAGAACGAAAGUUAGGGGAUCGAAGACGAUCAGAUACCGUCGUAGUCUUAACCAUAAACUAUGCCGACUAGGGAUCGGAUGAUGUAAUUUUUAAUGA